rnacentral:rRNA from 1 species
CGGACGGGUGAGUAACGCGUGGAAAACCUGCCGUAUACUGGGGGAUAACACUUAGAAAUAGGUGCUAAUACCGCAUAAGCGCACAGCUUCGCAUGAAGCGGUGUGAAAAACUCUGGUGGUAUACGAUGGUUCCGCGUCUGAUUAGCUAGUUGGUGGGGUAAUGGCCUACCAAGGCAACGAUCAGUAGCCGGCCUGAGAGGGUGAACGGCACAUUGGGACUGAGACACGGCCCAAACUCCUACGGAAGGCAGCAG